rnacentral:rRNA from 1 species
CGUACACUCCUACGGGAGGCAGCAGUGGGGAAUAUUGCACAAUGGGCGCAAGCCUGAUGCAGCCAUGCCGCGUGUAUGAAGAAGGCCUUCGGGUUGUAAAGUACUUUCAGCGGGGAGGAAGGCGAUAAGGUUAAUAACCUUGUUGAUUGACGUUACCCGCAGAAGAAGCACCGGCUAACUCCGUGCCAGCAGCCGCGGUAAUACGGAGGGUGCAAGCGUUAAUCGGAAUUACUGGGCGUAAAGCGCACGCAGGCGGUCUGUCAAGUCGGAUGUGAAAUCCCCGGGCUCAACCUGGGAACUGCAUUCGAAACUGGCAGGCUAGAGUCUUGUAGAGGGGGGUAGAAUUCCAGGUGUAGCGGUGAAAUGCGUAGAGAUCUGGAGGAAUACCGGUGGCGAAGGCGGCCCCCUGGACAAAGACUGACGCUCAGGUGCGAAAGCGUGGGGAGCAAACAGGAUUAGAAACCCUUGUAGUCCC